AUACGGAGGGGGCAAGCGUUGUCCGGAUUUACUGGGCGUAAAGGGUGCGUAGGCGGUUUGUCAAGUCUUAUGUGAGAUCUCCCGGCUUAACUGGGAGGGGUCAUAGGAAACUGGCAGACUUGAGGGCAGUAGAGGAGAGCGGAAUUCCUGGAGUAGCGGUGAUAUGCGUAGAUACCAGGAGGAACACCAGAGGCGAAAGCGGCUCUCUGGGCUGUACCUGACGCUGAGGCACGAAAGCGUGGGGAGCAAACCGGAUUAGAAACCCCUGUAGUCC
rnacentral:rRNA from 1 species